rnacentral:rRNA from 1 species
CCUACGGGAGGCAGCAGUGGGGAAUAUUGCACAAUGGGGGAAACCCUGAUGCAGCAACGCCGCGUGAAUGAUGACGGCCUUCGGGUUGUAAAGCUCUUUCUUCAGGGACGAUAAUGACGGUACCUGAGGAGGAAGCAACGGCUAACUACGUGCCAGCAGCCGCGGUAAUACGUAGGUGGCGAGCGUUGUCCGGAUUUACUGGGCGUAAAGGGAGCGUAGGCGGGCUUAUAAGUCAGAUGUGAAAUACUCGGGCUCAACUUGAGUGCUGCAUUUCAAACUGGAAGUCUAGAGUGCAGGAGAGGUGAAUGGAAUUCCUAGUGUAGCGGUGAAAUGCGUAGAGAUUAGGAAGAACAC